AAAUAGAGAAAUCUGGAGAUAAUCAGUGAAGAAAUCGAUUUAGACCUGUUCCUUUUUAAACCUUUGAACAAGUAAAUCGAUUGCUCAAUCGACUAUGUUACCGUUUCUGGAAAUCCUCAAUCGAUUUGGUAAUAAUUACCUUCAACGGCUAGUGAGAAAUAGUCACAACGGUAAUAUUUCAAAUCGAUGUCCAAAUCAAUGUCCAGAGUUACUUAAUCGAUUCCCAAAUCGAUUGUCUUAACGUUGAAUACUGAACUAGU
rnacentral:lncRNA from 1 species